CCCCGCACGCCCGGGGCUGUGUCUCCGGAGACCCCACGGCCUGGUCCGGAGGCGUGUCUGGAACCCGGGAGCAGGCGGGACUCCCGCUCGCCGGCGUCUCAGAGCCUGGGGUUCGAAACCCAGCUCUGGCAGUCUCUCCGCGACCUCGGACGACCGGCCUCGGAGCCUCAGUUUCCCCGCCAGGGCGAGGCACCCCGGAGGCGGAGGGUAAGGAGCCCUGCGAGGCCACAGAUCUUGGACACCUGGAUGGAGGAGCUGCAUGUCUUGACUCCAGCGUCUUAGAGUGAUGCUUGCACAGGGCACAACCACUGGCACAAGACCAUGGAAUCCCUCUUGUUCCCUUGUUCCUUGCAUACGAUCUCUGUGUGCUGUAAGAGAGGGUCUAACACUGGUUCCUUCUGAAAAGAUGAUAUACUUCCAAGGACCAAUCACUGUUCUCUGGUAAAAUGUCCUUGUUGAAGCCCAAAGCAAGCCUGAGGCCGAUAAACUACUCUGCGGCACAUCUGAGUAUAGCUGACCCCUGAACACCUCAGGGGUUUGGUGUGUGGACUCCCCCCACAGUCAGAAAUCUACAUAUAAUUUAACUACUAAUAGCCUACUGUUGACCAGCCUUACUAAUAAUUUAAAUAGCCGAUUAACACAUAUUUUAUAUGUUAUAUGUAUUAUUCACAGUAUUCUUAGAAUAAAGUAAGCUAGAGUAAAAUGAUACUAAGAAAAUUUUAAGGAAGGCAAAAUACAUUUAUAGCAUUCACUGAAAAAAUCAUAUAUAAGUAGACCUGUACAGCUCAAACUCAUGUUGAUCAUGGGUCACUGCACUUAUCUUUCCACCAGUUGAUUUAUAUGCUCACCAAAACCAUGAUUGUCCACAAAAUAGUUCAUAUCUGUCAGGAUUGCUAAUGUCAAUACAUAAUAUAAUUAGAUGUUAUGAGGAAAGACAAAGUUCAAAAAUAGAAUGAUUAUUAAUACUUUCAAUAAUAAAGAUUUUUUAAAAAAUGUAAGAACAAUAAAAAAAUAAAAUGCUUCAUAGAAACCUGUACAAAUGCUUUGGAACAAUUUGAGAAAGGUAAAUCAUUAAAAAAUCACUGUCAAAUUAGGGCAGUUAGUAACUGUAAAAGAUUUGGGGAAAAAUUGUAAAAUCUAGGAUUUAAAAACUCAGAUUGCUUUUCAAGUGUCUUAAAGUUUUUCUUCCACCAUAAAUGGAAAUUGUAGACAAUGUACAAUGGUUUUGUGCUUUAUGCAAGAAAGAUGAAGUGAACUCCAUUCAUUAAAGCCUUCCCCGAAGUGAAGGUCCUAGCCCUCAGUCAGAAUUCUGGCAAAUAAAUGCACGUCCAUAAGUUAAAAUAA